GGCGGCGUGCUUAACACAUGCAAGUCGAACGAUGAAGCCCUUCGGGGUGGAUUAGUGGCGAACGGGUGAGUAACACGUGGGCAAUCUGCCCUGCACUCUGGGACAAGCCCUGGAAACGGGGUCUAAUACCGGAUACUGAUCGCCUUGGGCAUCCUUGGUGAUCGAAAGCUCCGGCGGUGCAGGAUGAGCCCGCGGCCUAUCAGCUUGUUGGUGAGGUAAUGGCUCACCAAGGCGACGACGGGUAGCCGGCCUGAGAGGGCGACCGGCCACACUGGGACUGAGACACGGCCCAGACUCCUACGGGAGGCAGCAGUGGGGAAUAUUGCACAAUGGGCGAAAGCCUGAUGCAGCGACGCCGCGUGAGGGAUGACGGCCUUCGGGUUGUAAACCUCUUUCAGCA
rnacentral:rRNA from 1 species